rnacentral:lncRNA from 1 species
UAAGAUCAACGGUCCACGUUACAUCUGCCCCUUUAAACCUAACCAAACCCCUAACCCUAAUCAUUUUACACUCCCGCCGCCCCAGAACACUCUCGUCUCUCAUCUUUUAAGAACCCUAGUCCUCCACCUCACCAAAAUUCUCUCCUAAUCCCGUUUCUAAUGGGAUUUUCUUCCCAUUCACUUACCAUUUCGAUAUGUUUCCACUAUUGGGUGAUAAUCUACGGUAUUACCUAGUACUUGCCUAAACAUGGCAAGUACUCUUACUCUGAUUUUGUCCUAUUUAACUUUCGUCUCUUGGAUUUGGAGGACUUUGAGUUCAAACGCGUUAUUUUGUACCGAUUCUCUUGUAUCUUGAUAAUUCGUACUUAACCCUAAAGGUUAGGGUUUCAGAUUCUCUAUUCACUCUAUUACCUGUGAAUCUGCCUAUAUUUGUCGAUUUCUUUUCCUUACUCAAAUUAGGGUUUCAGAUCGUUUUCAAUCGAACUAAAUCUUGCUCAAUUCUAUGUUUCUUUUUGAAUAAUCUCCUGUCUAUGUCUACUUUUAUGCUAAUAUGUGAUUCUUGCAUUUAUUUUCUGCCAAUUUUAUGGUUUACCUAAAUUUAUGGUUUCAAACCCUUUUACUUGAACUAAAUCCAGUUCAAUUCUGUGGUUUUUUGUAUAAUUCCGUGUCUAUGUUCAUUAUAUGCAUUAUGUGAUUCUUUGCCUUAUUUUCUACUAAUUUUGCGUAUCUUCACCUAAAAUUUAGGGUUUUAAUUUUACUGAUUUAAGUACUUGCCUUUUGGUAUUUAAAUUAGCUAUGCUUAUGUUCUUAUUUUGGCACUAUUUAAACUCCUCCCCACUCUCCUUUGAAAACCAGAGGUUCUGAGUUCGAAAAUAUUUCACUACUAUACAAAAGUUGUGUGCUUCUGCUCUCUCUUGAAUAAUUUUGCUCUGUGUUUUGAUUCCUGGACGGCUGAAAGCCAAGGUCAGAAAUCCCCAAGUUUUUGCUUCUGUCUAGUGAUAUCCACUGCAUUAUUGGAUUCUUUUAUUCUCUGUUUCAUCUCAACUGGUGAGUUAAUAGACCCUCUGCCAUUUCAUUAUGAUUGUUCACUCAAUGUGUUACUUCAACUAAUCUAUGUUAGCCUAAGUUAUUACCUUGUGGUUUGAAACAUGCUUAAGUUUAUGUUGAGUUUAUUAAUCAGAUUUUGCUUAGAACUAUAUGCUAUUGAUGACUAUAUAUUAAAGUCAAGUUUGUUAUAAACCUGUUUGUGCACCUGCUGUCAUACUUGUUCAUGUGAACUAGUUAACCAUGUAUAAGUGCAUUGACGGAUUUAUAAGUCUGUUUGUUGAACCUGCUAUAACGUGACCUGUUUGAUCUUGUUUUCACCCUAUUUUGAUACCUUUAAUAACUGUCUUAACUAGCUUUUAACAUGUCCUAAUCUAUCGCUUAUCAAUGUGAUCCUUUCUAUGACACCAAUGUUUGUACUUAAUCUAAUCUGGAUAUUCUGUUAUCACUAUGAAUCUGCUUAUGAACUUUCCUUGUUAUCAUGUGAUUAAUUCCUAAAACUUGACCAAGUUUGCCUAAGUUCAAGCAUGUCUACUACUUGUUUGUGUAUAUGUGUUCUGUACCUUCUGUGAAACUCUUUGACUAUCUCAUAUUCUUUUACUAUCUGGCCUUUCUGAAUCCUCAUUCUUAGCUGGCUGAAAGCCAAGGAUGUUUAGGUUCUGUCCUUGACCUCCCUAGUGUGAGCACUGCCCGUGGUCCAUGUGAGACCUUUGUGAACUCUGACACACUAGGAUUUGGUCCCUAGUCUCCCCUAAACUGUUUCUGAUCAAUUUCUCUAGUGUGAGCUAUGAUGACCCAAAAGGUCAUCACUUGUGUUGCAAGUGAAUUCAGUGUUCCGAGGCCUAAAAACCUCCUUUUUCCUCACCUUGAUUUACGUGCAUAGUCCGGACCUAUAUCCGGAAAGCCUUCUAUGUGAAAAUAUGAGAGAUAGAAAUUUUAGAGUUAAAAUUUGAUUAUGGUUGACUUUGGUCAACAUUUUGAGCAAACGGACCCUGAUCCGUAUUUUGACAAUCCCGGGAGAUCCGCAGUAAAAUAUGAGACUUGGGCGUAUGCCCGGAAAUGAAUUCCGAGGUCCCAAGCCUUAGAAAUCAAUUUUAGAAAGAAAUCGUUUUACUGAAUUAUCUAAGAAAUAAAGAAAAGAAUCAAUGUUUAAAAUCAUUGUUAUCGGGCCCGUAUUUUGGUUCCAGAGCUCGGUACAAAUUUGUUAUCGUACUUUAAAGAUGACUGUGAAAUUUGGUGAAAAACGGAGUUUAUUUGACGUGAGUUGGACUUCCGGUUGAAGAGUUAUGCACUUUGAGAGUUCUUGAUGAAAAUUUUGAGUUUUGAGGUUUAAUUCAUGAUUUUACAUGUUAUUUUGAUGAUGCGAUCGCACGAGUAGGUUCAUAUGAUGUCUUUGAGUUAGUAUGCACACUUGGUUUGGAGUUUCGAGGGCUCGGGUGAGUUUCGGGUAGGUUCCGGGAUGUCUUAGGCCUAAAACAUAGUUGUUGCAGGUUCAGAGAAUGGAAGGCCACUGAACAAACCAGUGCGGUCCACACAAAAUAGAGUGCUGCCGCGGAGAGGCCUGUGCGGCCGCACUGGAUUUGAACCUCGAUUUGAGGUCCGAUUUCAAAACAAAUUAUAUAUUUGGGUUCGUGGGGGAAUGGGUAAUCAGAUUUUGGUUCGAACUUCGGGUUUUGACCAUGUGGGUCCGGGGCGAUUUUUGACUUUUGGGUAAAACUUUGGAAAACUCAUUUUCAUGCAUUGGAGUUGAUUCAUUUAGCGUUUAUUGAUGUAAUUAAGUAAAUUGUGGUUAGAUUCUAGCGGGUUGGAAGUGGAACCAAGGGGUAAAGCGGUAGUUGAAGCUUGAUUGUGCUCGUGUCUAUGAGGUAAAUGUUUGGUCUAACCUUAGCUUGAAGGAUUAAGAGCUGUGUCUUAUUUGCUACAUGUUAAUUGUAGAGUAUGACAUAUAGGCAUGGUAAUGAGUAUCUAUACGUUGGUGUCAAGCAUGCCCGUGAGUCUUGUAUUAUAAUUGUUUUGACUCCGUUGUGGUUUAUUGUGCUUCAUAUGUUAUUAUCACCAUUGUUCCCUUACCGGGAUAUUUGUUUGAUAUUAAUGAUCCCUUGUCGGGAUGUUUGUUUUGAUAGUAUUGUUCCCUUGCUGGGAUGUUGUUGAAAUAUCAUUGUUCCCUUGCCGGGAAGUUGUUAUAUUGCUCUUGUUCCCUUGCCGCGAUUCCUUGUGACUAUUGUUGGCUUGUAAAUGGGAGCGGGUGGUACGCCUACCACAAGAUAUAAUGAAAUGGAAGCGGGUGGUAUGCCUACCACAAGAUAUAAUGAAAUGGGAGCGGGUGGUACACCUACCACAAGAUAUAAUGAAAUGGGAGCGGGUGGUACUCCUACCAUGAGAUAAAUAAAAUGGGAGUGGGUGGCACGGCUGCCACGAGAUAUAGGUAAUGGGAGCGGGUGGCACGCCUGCCACGAGAUACAGGAAAUGGGAUCGGGUUGCACGCCUGCAACAAGACGUGAAGAGAAAGUGAAAAUUGCCUUUCUUUUCCUUAUUCUUAUUAGUGGUUGGAUUUUGAUUCCUUUGUAAUUCUCUUGAUAUUCUGUUUUUACUUGUUAUUCCCCUGAAGCAUGUUUCCCCUUCCCAUCUUUACUUGUUUAUUCCUGCAUUACUUUCCGCUGUAUAUUAUAUAACUACACAGGUUUAUUUGGUAGUCUGGUCCUAGCCUCGUCACUACUUCGCCGAGGGUAGGCUAGGCACUUACCAGCACAUGGGGCCGGUUGUGCUGAUACUAUAGUCUAUACUAUGUGCAGAUAUCAGAGUAGCUCUUGGACCGUAGUUUGGAGGCUACCUUCAGCCCAUGCGGAGAUCCAAGGUAGACCUGCAGGCAUCCGCAGGCCCUGACGUCUCCUCUAUAUUUUAUUUCCUAUUUCAUCUUUUUUGCUUCAGAAACAAUGUGUCUUUUAUUCUCGGACCUUGUAUUUAGCAGUCUUAGAACGUCGGUGACAUUGUGACACUAGGUUUUGGGUGAUUAUGGCUUAAGUAGUUGUAAUAGCUACUGAAUCAGAUAUUUUAUUAUUUUUCUUCCUCUUAAAUAAAUAUUCUUCU